rnacentral:lncRNA from 1 species
UUUUUUUUUUUUUUUUUUUUUUUUUUUUUUCUCUGUGGUUGUCUUUGUCUUUGCUUGAAGGACUUUCCAAAUGAGAUUCUACGCAGCCUUUACUUUGGAAUCUCAUUGCAGCUCUACACUCAGCCAUUUUAGAGAAGUCAGCAGCACUCUGUCAUAUUUUUUCUAGUCCAUGAACUUCAUUAACAGUGACCACUCUCAUUAGUUCUCACACAUUUUUACUUUGGUUCAUAAAGACUGUUUCUCAUGUUGCAUUUUUCUACUCCCCUAACCCCAUUCAAUUAACAUCAAAUUCACUUUAUAAAGUGAUCACAUAUUGGAAAUCUGUGUUCACAUUCACUGUGCUGAAGGUCCAUCAUUCUUCCUGCUUUCUGUUUAAUAUCUUAUUUGUUAUGUUGAUUUCAGGGAUAGGAAGGUUGCAUUAAAUGGAAAAAAAUAUAAAAAAAGCAAGCAAAAUUCUAGGUUUUGCUAGACCAUUUUACCUAACAAAACCUAGAUCAUUUUAGUCAUUACUACAGCUAUUCAGAAACUGAAAGGAAAAACCCAAAUUUAGUUCUCAGUGCAGUACUUGUGACCAAUGGUAACUAUAACCCCCAAGAUUCAGUUAAGUAAAUAAAUGUGAGCUACAUGUUGUUGGACUAGAAGAUAACUGUUACUGUAAAAUGCUAAAAAGCUGAUGUCAUUUCCUUAAAAAUCAACCAACCAAGCAAACACACAAAAGCCUCCUAUUUUUAAAAAAAUCUUGCCUAUGAUAAUUUUGAAUUUUUCUCAGUGCCUUCUACCAGAUCCCUAGUGUCCACCACAUCCCCAUUGUGCAAUAUCUAAUUAACUGCAGCAAUCAAAGAUGAGAGUGAACAAGUUUGUAAUAAAACUCAGCCUUCUGAAAUAAUGAUUUCUGUAUCAGCUCUUUCUGAUUAAAUCUCUCUCCUCCAUUAAUUCCCAGUUCUUCUAAAUACUACACAAAUUCAUCCUUAAUGCAGGGCCUUGUACUGACUGUCAGUUCUUGCCAUGGUGAAUGUGUUUCUUUAUCUUGUACUUGAUUGAGUUGAUUCUAAAUUCUGCCUACUCAUUUGUUCUGCUUUUUCUUCAUUUUCAGAUUUCUCAGUCAUAACUACAGUCUCACAACACAAUGCUCCUGAC